GUCGCAGUCCCUGGAGGUGUUCCAGAACCAUGGAGAUGUGGCACUGAGGAACAUGGAGUACCUUGGCUCUACUCAGCGAGGGACCCAGUGCAUGAUGCAGCAUCCUGGGAGAAGGGGAGCAGGGGGCCAGAAAUGUUUUCCCAGUUUCUGCUCUUUCAGCCUCUGGAGAUGAGUAUUUCGGUUGGGAGGGACUGUGUCAGCAAGAGAGAUGAAGCACGGAGAGAUGAAAUCUCAGCCCUGUACACAGCCUGGCUGCCGUCUGUACCUGGGCCUUGCCGCACCAUCCCUCGAAUGCAAAGCAAUUCAACGAAAAGAGAAAUCACACAUUUCUGACCCAGAAAGAGAGGAAUAUCACAGUCUCUCAGGACACGCGCUGACGGGAGGAUUUCUGGAACCUCAACCUCCACUCAGCUUUUUGGGCAGGAAUGGGCCAACCCAGGCAUGUGCUCACUGCAGAAGAGCCCAGGAGAUGCUGGUGCAAAGGCUCACUGCAAGCACCUGCUGCUUCUGGAGGAGUUCCUGUUGCAAUGCAUGUGCUCAGGAUGAAUAGCCACCAUUCAGAUUUCCUUCAGGAAACACACCCUCGCUCCUGUUCACUAUAAGACAGCUGAGAGCAAGGCCAGUCGUCCGGUCAUCACACAGGGAACUGUACGCAGAAUAAAUCAGCCCACACUCCUCGUCACGAACUCAGUUGCUCUUUGAGACCAUCUCCCAGAGAUGAGGAAGACGUGUUAAUCCAAAUGAAGACGCACAGCCAAGUGUGGAGCAUCCUCUCUGCUCCUUCCCAAGGUAAGUCUGCAGCUGGCGUGGCCUCGGGGCUUCAGCCAGGGCCGUUUUGAGGUGGGAACAGAAGAACAGAGCAGCCAAGGGUUCUCCUGCCACAGCGUGUGCCUGCUCCCACCUGCUUCCUCAGUAAUUAGUGUCGGUGGUGGUGUUAGAAUGCUAUUAUGGGAAGAUUCUGCUGAGAACAGAGCUGAGCUCUCCAUGUGCACUUCCCAGCCUUGGCACUUUGUCCUCUUCCCCCACUCCCACUGCAGCCACUAGAGCAGCUUCCGGGACUCACAGCUGAUUCGGUGCUGUGCUUGAAACAAAGCUGCUAGAGGGUAUUUUAUACCUGAGGGGCCAGAUCCUGCACCUGGGACAGGCAAGGGCCAAAGGAGUGGAAGAGGCUGGCAGCCAUGCCAAGGUAUUGUGGUGAACAGCCUAAAAUUUUGGUGAAAGUGAGCAGCAUGGAAAGCAGAAGGGAACAAAAACUUCAGAUCUUUUCAACAGCCAUGCCCUGCCCAUUGUCCUUGAUGGGGCAAUAACGUGAGGAAAGAGUAAGAGAGGAGAAAGAGAAUGAGAAGAAUAAUGUGAAAGUAGGAAUGGAUGAAGACAAGAGGCUGAAAGCAAUUCAUAAAGCAUGCUGCAAUACACAAUUCUUAACACACGCUGCAAUGCCCUGGGCUAAAUAAAGACUGCACAGUGAUGCUAGGAUGCUGAUAUCUAGUACUGCUGGUAUAGGACCUUCACAUUUUAGAUCUUGUGGUCAUAGGUGUUGGUGGAGUGGGCUUGAGUGUGCAGUGUAGGGUUGAACAAGAGAAGGUGAAAAAUCCAAGAGUCCAAAACAACGCAGUGUGACUCAGGUCCUCACUGGCUGGACAGGGAUAGCUUAAGCUCUGUGCCCUGCACUUCUCAGGAGAUGUCAGCCCCGGGUCCCUGCAGGACUAAAAGCCUCCAUGGCCACGCUUGGCUAAGCAAGCAGACAUUUAAGGGUUUAACUGAAGUGGAUCUGUAAUCUUUCAGUAUUUUAUAAUACAGUAUGUUACAGGAGACCAUAAAUUAGAGCUUAUAAUACCCGAUCCGCUCAGCUACUGACAGAAUAUCUAAGGUAAUCUGACCUGCUUCACAGACCGUGAGAAAAAUCCUCAUGGAAAGUGAAAGAGAUGAAUUACAGAAUUUUACAGAGAAGUGGGAGAAUUUCUCUCGGCUCAGAUCUUGGGUUAAUUCCCAUGUAAGGUGAAAGAAUGUUUCACCACGUUUUGCUCAACUGAAGUUGGCAAGCUUUAAUAGAUGCAGCCCUGCAGGCUGAGGGAUAAACUCUGCUCCCUUUCACUCAUUUGAGCCAUUGCCCAUGUGAUCAACAAUGUGGGUCAUAAUAAAGGGAAGGAAAUAAGGGAUGAGAUCUCCGAGAGAAAGCAAACGAUGGGACGAAAUGCUGCAAAAUGUCAGAAAAGGUGUUUUUUUUUCUCAUUAGGAAGAAGGAUACAUCCCGGUGCUCUACAUCCACAAUAAGGAAAGCAUUUCCUUUCUGCUCAGAGCUGUUGUUCUUCCCUGUCACAAGCAGAGACUAAAUGCAGUCUCAUAAUUACAGCAUGCUGAAGCUGGAAGCUUUUCCUAUGGAUCUGCAACUCUUUUUUUUUUCCCCCUCCUGGUAAUAGCUGAUCUAUAGAACGUAUCUGUGAUCGUUUCAAAUGGAAGCUAGCAGUUACUUUCUGUUUUCUGCUUUAAGUCUUUAUGUUCAAGAAAUGUGUCUCCAGAGAUGCCUCCUUCUCUCACCUCUUCCCAUAACAGUGAGAGGUGCCAGCAGCUCCUCUGCCACUUUUCUAACUAUUUCCAUUCCCCUUCUAGGUACUUCUAUUUCAUACUUGCUCUCACAGUCAAUUCCUGCAAGGACUAAAAUGUGGGUCUUGGUCAUGUUACGUUGGAUACUGAUCUCUGAGCCAGGUCAGGUGUCUGCAGGCAGGAAAAUAUUUGGUUUUCUGCCUUCAUUCCUUUGUGUCACACCUUUACUUCAAGGUGUCCAAAGGAAAUGAAAUUUUCCAGAAAAACAGCCCGAAGAAAAUCUGCAGAGUUUCUCACUUGUGAGUAUGUCUGUGUGAUCCAGGCCUUCUGUGAGGUUUCUAGAUGAGGCAGUGGUAAGAUGAAUGGGGACCUCUGUGUUAUCUGUGAUGUGGCUGAAAGCAUACAGCUUCUGAAGCCUUUUGAGGAACUCAGAUGGAAGACGUUACACAAAUCCAAGGCGUGCAUUUUUUAAUACCUCCUGUGAUUUAUUAGAUAACUGUGUCAUCUUUACCUUCUAACUUCUUUGUCUUGGGUUUCUUUUCAAGAAUUAACCAGGAUCUGAUGAAUUUACGGGAAAUUUUCCAGUGCUGACCAGGAGAUCUAAGAUCUUGAUAUCUCCAUGUACUUUCUCAAGGUACCAGUAGUCCCAUUUCCUCAACCAGUAGUACAGUCCUUGUUAUUCUCAGACAUAAUUGUGUUGAAACUGCCAAGUGUUCUUUCCACCUCUUUAAUUUUGUUCUCAGAAGAAAUCCUUCACUUCUUUGUAUGCAGAGGCUGCUGUGGUCUGGAUCUCAUCUCGUCUUCUAGUAACAUCUUCCAGAUUUGUUUUAAACUGAUUAGACGCUGCUGAAGAAUCAGCUCUCUCCCCCGGACAGUACAAAGCAGAGCGCUGGCAGAGCUGGCUCCUGGCCAUCAGCUAUGUGGUGACAUAGCGUCGCAUCACUUGACAGCCCCACUUUCAUUUGGGGAGUUCUGAAACGUUCACAUGCGAUGAAAAACUAAAAUAAAAUAAUACACAAGGUGACAGGAGGGUGCAAUUAAAAAAGAAGCACCAGCUUGACCAGAGAGUGGCUUUAAUUGGAGGUCUUCUUCCAUAUGCUGGAACACAGACUCUGAAAGGUAUUUCUGUCCCUCUAAUGUGGCUGCAUUUCUGCCUCUGAAUUUUGAUUUUGAAAAACAGAAAAUGAUGUUUUUUAUUGGGCCACUGAGAGAAAUUACAGGGAAUGAGCUGCAUGAAUUUAAAAUUCUCUCAGUAGGGUAUGAAGGCAGGGAAAUACUUGUCCCUCCAUAGCCCAGUAACUUCCAGUGCAGGUUAGGGACACUCAUUCCCAGCGCCCACCUAUGCACAGGGGUUCAUGUAAGUGAGGAUCACAUGUGUUGUCACCACCUCGCUUCUCUGCUGGAUGGAUAUCACCCUCACUUUAAACAUGAGGAGGAAAUUCAGAAGGUCACAACAUCAAAUACUGAUUCUGAAAUUCAUUUCUCCCUAAAGAUUAAUGAAGCCCAAAAUGAAAUACAUUGAAAUUAAGCAAAGUUAGCUGCAGUAUUUGAGUCUUCCCAUCACAGUGUCCUAAGAGGUAUCCUGUGGUUUGACACAUAAUUAAUAUGUUUAUCUAUCUUUGCUUUCUUUCAUUCUUUGUUUUCAAUAACAGCCAUCACCAUAAUAGUCAAAUAUAAACAUUCCAUCCUGUUUCAUAAAGAGCCUACGGUCCAUUUUAUUGCAACACAGUUACUUUCCCAGAUCCCACAAGUGAAAAGGCGUGAUGCUUGAAAAAAUUCUCUGAAAUUUUCUCACCGUUUUUGCUUGAAGCAAGUUGCAUCAUGUUUACAAACUUGGGAAAAUGGGCCUCUUUUGCCUACUUUGAGUGUCAUGGGAACACAUACCGAGAUCUGAUCCAGUAGAGCUGUGUGGUGCUGCUAGGAGCUUCUCAGGGUCCCAUUAUUUGCUCCCAAGGGUGUUCCAGGAUGCGGUGUAAAGUUGCACUCUGUUUGCCAUGCCCAAGGUCCCAGACACAUGGGGAAUCACACUGGCUCCAGUACCAAGAGCUGAUCAUUUUUCAGACACACACAGUCAUAACUUUUGUUAUUUAUUCACACUGAAACAUUAUGAUGUCCUCAUUACUCUAAAUUGUUUCGUUUUCAACUUACAGUAUGUUCAUGGAAUAUUUGGAGGAAUUAUUGGCUUUGGCUUAUGUUAUCUGUGACUCACUUUUUAUAGACUUGACAGGACAGGUAAUUUCCACGGCAUUGUUUUUGGCUCCUUAACUGGAUCCCAUCCAAGUUUACAAAGUGCUUCUACAGAGAUAAUGGAGAACAUUCCAGCCUCCUGUGAAAUGUCAGCUCUGUAUCCAGUGCUAGAUGUGCAGUGAUAACCUGGUUAAAGCUGCUGGACUCUGUGAUUUCUUGCUUGGAAGUACCAAACACCCUAAAGAUACCAUGUCAAAUCUGCCAAAAGCAGGAAAGAAAAAGCAAAUGGGAGACACAGAGCAAGAGAGAAAAGUAGAUGCAAUGCUAUUACUUUACACCAAAGAACAGUAAGUUAAUUGAUGUCCAUAAUAAACUUUCAGUAGAAAAGUAUUAAAUAUUUUUGAAGACAUGUGUAAAUCCAGUAUUGAAAAAAAAAAGAAAAAAAGUUACUGUUAUCUGGGUUUAAUCAGCUGAGAAAAGCAUGAUGAUAAAUAAGAUUUAGUGGAAGCAUAAAUUGAAAAUGGCGAAUAAUACUUUUAAAAAGGGGGCCUACUGGAAUACGUAUGUCUCUAUGUCCCUGAGGUAUUUGAUUUGGAAUAUGUAAUCAUCUCCUUUGAGGAUAUUUAUGAAAGUUAUUUCUGAAUGUUCAGAGGUUUCUCUGCUUUUCAUUAUCUAUUUUUCUUAACAAGGGCCAGAACUGUAUGCCUGAUUUUCUGUGAUAUAUUCACUUGGGAGGUUUUCUCAUACUGGCCAAGGACACAUCGUUUACAAGAAGGUCCUGUCAAGCAUCCAAAUGUCUCUGCUGAAGCUUCCAUUUUAGAUGACCCCACAGAAUGUGAGAAAACCUUCUUUUAGGGGAAUGGCAUCUUCUGGCCAGAGCUGUGUCCAGAAAGUCUGAUGUGCUUAACCUACGGCUGAAAUGCCCAAUGCAAAUUCAUGGUAGGGAAAGGAAUGAAGUAUCUGUGUUUUCUCAAGAAAGGAAACUCAAACCCUUGGGAUGAUAUUUUCCGCAUGAAGAACUACCUUCAUUGCAAUUUGGAUUUCUGAGAAGGUCAUUUGGACUUUUGGGCCCUGUGUUCUGGAGAAAUCUGAAGAAUUUGGGUCAUCUUGACUUAAAAAUAACUUCUGUUAAUGCAAUUUGGAAAGCAUAUUUCUUUGAAUAUGAUCUUCCAUUUGCGAAGGGGGCAAAGUUUACAAUUUUGGGUGGAAACCAUGUGAAAGCUAGCGGUUCCAUCAGGGUUUUGUUUUGAAAUUUUUGGAUUUGUUCAAACUCAAAAGUCAAAGUGAAACUCGAGGGAUGUGAACCCGCUUGAAUCAAAACCAAAAAAGUGAUGCGCCAGAUCUCCCAUGAACCAAAACCACUGGGUUCUCACAGUUCUCAUCCAAACAAAAAUGCACUAAUAUAAAUCAAAUACCGAACCAAAUAUCCUCUUUUGCUCCGUCUGGCUUUCAUGGAAAUAACACAGAAUAUUUAAAAGGUCUGCUCAGUUUUGCAGCAGCAACUACCAAAACAUCCUGAGAUCAUUUGAUAUCUGGCAGUUAAUAUCCUGAUCUAUUCUCUUUAGUCAGUAAUCCAAUCCUUUCCGACCAACACUGCCUUGGCGUGCACAGCAUAACCCCUUAACAUCUUCCUCGAUUGUACAAUUUCACAGGGAAGACUCCGUGCACAAUUCACAGUCCUUCUCCUUCUCAUUCUUGCUCAAAGAGCCAAGGAAGGAGUUGGAGCUGAAAGCAGAUGAGAAGUCCAAGCAGUACGAUCAGUAUGGAAGCAGGACCCUUAGCAGCUAUAGGACAAGUUGGAGUACUAAGAAAAUAUUUAAUGAUAAUUUUCUCUGUGAUUUACCUUGUUUGAGACCAUACUACGACUCUGAAAUGAGAGAAUUUUAAAAAAAAAAAAAAAGAUGUUUUGCAGUACAUCAUGUAGCAAACAGUUUCUAAAGCCAUAAAAAAAGUGCUGGUCAUGGAAGAACAGCAAAGGUUUCCUUUGUAACUAAGACACGCUUGUUUGUAAUAACAUGUGCUUUCAAACAUUGCCAAGUUGCUGAGGAUAUCUCUGUUAUAUACAAUCCUGAAAAAUGUAAGUGUUAAAAAAAACAAGGUAAUGUAAAAAAAAAAAAAAAAGCUAAAAAAAGAAAAAGUUUGAUCAGAUGGUUAAAAUCCAGUCAAACCUAAGACAACCUGUUUAUGACCUUUCCAAGCUAAAAGCUAGAAAUGUCAUUUUUUUUUUUUCCACAAGAUUAAUUACCAUCACUCUGGGAGUAGUGAGCUGGACAUUAUUAUAUGAUGUCAAUUAAUGAUUAAAAAAAAGGUGGUUUGCAAAUGUAGCACCACAGUCCCUGGUGCAUUACAUCAUUUCUGAAAGAUCUUAACACGUGAUAAGCAGAGAACAUUUUAACCUAAAAGUCUGAGUGUUACAACCUCCUUUUUUGUUGUAACACCCUACCCACAACCUUUUGGCCUUGAAGUCACUUGCAAUAAAAUUAAGAAGUCAAAAAGAAAAAGGAAAAAAAAAAAAAAAAAACCUCUGGGAAAGACAAGACACGCUCCUGUUUUGCUGUCGAGCAGAUAAUGCAACAAAAUGAGCCGCUAUACGCAUUGGAAAACACGGUGCUGAUCUUCGUAUGUGCACUGUUCUCAGCAAGACUCGUCAUCAAAAUCUCACGCUUGGAGUCGUAAGGUUGCUGUGAUUCAGGUAUUAUAAACUAUAUAAUGCAGUUAUCUCUGUGAGAGCGCCUCGAAAAUUUCAUGUGCUGAGUGAAAUUACUCCUGCACUUGCCUAGGCGCUGCUUUCCCAGAUGGGGUGACAAUGAUCAUUUUAUGUGCCUUAUUGAAUUCACUGAAAUAUUUAGAAGGGUUUCUACCUAUAUUUUACAUCUCCUUCUGUUAUAACCUUUUUUGCAGCAACAGUUUGAUUUCUUCGUCAAUAGUAUACAUAACCUGAUCCAUUCUUCUCUGAGCUCUUCUCUUUUAGUGUCAAAACACUGUAGAUGUUCCUUUGUAAAUGAACGAUACGCAUUUAAAAUACCUUUGUAAUAAUAAAUACCACACGAACAUAUGCAUCAAGGAAAGGAUUUCAAUUUUGAUGACACUUGCUUCUCAAGAACAGACAUUCUGGAAGGAAAAAACACUGCCAGCCCCAAAUUGAUUGACAUUUGUUUACUUAACUCUCUCUUCUUGAAAGUCUGCACACCUAUUUCAACCUUGAACAGUUUCCAACUGUGGUAUACUGGAACAUUUUUUCAUUUAUUAAGUUCAGUGUUGCCAACCCAAACAAAGAGUAAUCAGUGAUGAUCCAAGCAGACCAAGCUGUCUAGCACCAUACAAUGUAUCUGCAUGCUAAUUUUCAAAUUCCCUCACAUUUCCAGAGAACUAAUGGGAUCAUUUUCAUUCUGUUACAGCAACUCAACAGUUACUGAAUCACCAUCUGUGUUUUCGUUAACCUGAAUCAGAUAUGAAUUCUGUUAUUGCAAGGUAGAGCAGCUUGUUUAAUGAUUCUUAAUCUUUUCUUUAAUUAAAUCAUGCAGCCAACCUGAAAAAUCUAUCUUAAUGCAAAUUAGGAGCUUUUUUGGCAUUCACUUACAGUAAUGCACUAAUAAGGUUAAUUUAUGAAGGUUCUCUUCCAGUCUGUACAGAUGAUAUUUGUUCGCUGCAUAUUUUUAGCAUAUUGUCCCUUUUUCUAAUAUUUAAAAAAAUAUCACUCAUAAAAAAAAAAAUGGGUUGUUUUCACUCACACAAAAGAGGAAGGCUGCGAGCUGCUUUUUGUUUAAUAGAAAGAGCACGGAAAAGGAAAAUCGGUUUCUCCCGUCCAUGAGCAUCUCUCCACGCGGGUGCAGAGGCACAAAUCGAGGACUGCUGGGUUAAAUGGCUUUGGAUGAGCACUCUCCACUUCUCGCUGGAGAAAUUCGGGCCCCGGUUCAGAUGAGCAUCUUGAAGUUAUCAAGGGAGACAGAGAGUUUCUCCUCUCUUUUUUUUUUUUUUUUCCUUGUAGGUGUGAAUGAAUAGUAUAAAGAGUAAAUAAUUCUUGUGAAAUAAGCCCGAAUACUUUUCUCAGUUGCACAAUUGCUUCAGCUUGGGGCUCUGAUGAUCUCAGUCAAGAAAAUUUCUGUCUUUGCGAGCAUUCCUCCCAACUACAAAAUUAGUUGAAAUCUGUUCAAGUUGCUGAGUAAAGAGUAAACUUUUUUUUUUUUUUUUUAAGGUUAUUUUUCAACACCCACAAGCAAACGGGGACGGCGACUGCGAAUUUCAACACACGGCCGUUGCUAUUUAAUUAAAAUCACUGAGGCUGGCUGAAAAACUUUUCAGCAGAGUGAUUUCACAUCAGAGAAUGCCGAUUCUCAAAAUCGGAAUGUUCUUUUCAUAGAAAUCCCUCCGUUUCCACCAGGAAUGAGAUUUCAGUUCUAGGAAAGGACUUCUCAUCCCAGCUAGGAACGGUAAACGAUCACACCCCUUUUGCAGCAGGACUGCCCAACCACGGCAGCAAGGGCACCUCUUUCCUCCCCUGCCCAUAUUUCCAGCUGUAAUUGCUCCAUGUCUGACUGCAUUAACUAUGUGCACAGCCCAGGACAGGAGCUCUUGCCCAUAUCUCCACGGCUGUGACUCUCUGUGUUUCAUUAAAGGUAACGGCAGGACAGAAAGGCUGCAGGAUGGUUGAAACCUUCCUCUAGUUCCCCGCAGCCAGGGAGUGGAAACAAUAUCUCACACUAUUUGUGCAGUGAUUCCUGGCUUGUUAAUAUUCUGGCGUGGCUGUUUUUCUCUGCCGUGAGGAGCUUCACUUUGGCCACUUAGCAUGGGGUUUUGCCUCUGUGUAAGUGGGAAUGCUGCUCUUCCUUUUCCCCUCUUCAAUUUGGAAAGCUGUUUUCCUGCCAUUGCUAGUCCUUUCUGUGUAAUAUUAGCACAGAGAGAAUGAAAAGUAACUGCUUUCCUUCCCAUUCAAUUGUACUUAUGUAGUCUUAAGUAUAUUAUAUGCUUCGCUUCCUGCUUCAUCCACUAGUAAAAUGUGUCGAUACAUGAAUAUUAGGAUAAGAUUGCUUUAAUUAGAACCUACUGCCCUGCACACUAUCUUCUCUAAAAACUACCUGUAUUAAGAUCUGGGGAAAAUAAGUCUUAAAGAAAAUUUCUAAUAACAAAUUUUUGGACUUCACCCCCCACGUUCUGCUCCCCAACCCUUUCAACUUUUCAAGGAUACUUAAAAACACAUGACUCACCCUGUUGCUUCAUUAUAUUUUAUGGUGAUCUUUAAUAUCUUUUCUUUUUUUGGGGGGGGGCAAGAGGGAGGAGCAGGGCUAGCUUGCUCUCCAUUUUCAUUUCUUGGUUUAUCUUUCAUGAAGUGGAAAACAUCGAAUGGAUGGGAUAAUACUUGAUGCUUACUGUUUUCCUUUCAUCGCAUUACAGCAUUUUCUCAGGUAUUAAAGUAGCACUGGUCUCAACUAAGAGGAGUGAUCAAACUAUCUACUAAUGAAGUUUCUCUGACAGGAACCCCAGGAACUGGAAACUGAACUUCAGAAUCAUGAAGAGCACUGCUGUAAGGCCACCAUGAGAAAAAUCUGGAUGAAGACAUGGACUGGAGACAUGUCUACCACACCGGAAGAAACUGAAAGAAUAUGAUCCCAUUUGACUCUAAAAAUCUUGCUAUGCUAAUUACCAGCUCACAAAGCAGAGAAAUUAAGGCAGAGAGGGCAUGUUCAUGAUGACAACCUUUACCCAUUAGCAAGCUUUGCAUUUUCCCAAGGCUGAAGACUAUUUAGCCCUGACAAAUCCAAUCAGUGAUAUGCAGGCGUAACCUCCAGAAAUAAGCUCACAUUUUUAGGAUCCACGGGGCAAAAGAUGGACUGCAGUAGGUCACUAUUAAAAUAUUUAACAUACAGCUUGGCCAGUGCUGAAAUGGCACAGUUGGCCUGAAGUCAUUUCAAGGUCUCCUGGCAUCUUUGUGUUUCCCCAAUGGCUUUGUGCAGUAAAGUGUUAAGUUCUCCUGAGUGGUUAUGUAUUUAAGGCAGCAACUUUAAAAUAAGGAAUUGCAACCUUAGAGCAAAGCUGCUAUUUUGAGAAUUUUAAACCAUUAUUGACUCCUGUCAGAUCAGUUUCUAGACUUAUUGACUCAAGAAGUAAAUAUAGACUGAGAGAAAGCGAGGUCAAGUCAAUAUUUAUCUUGCAGAUCAAUACAUUUUGAUACUAACCAAAAAUUAAGCUCAAUAAAUGCAUAUAUUAUAUACAGCAAGGUUAGGGGAGAUCCAUUCAGAAAAUUUGUCAAUUUGAAAUUUCCCAACGGAAUCCAACCUUUUGAAUUCAAUUUCCAUUAGAAAUUCUGUCCCUUUAAGGUUGCUUAAGUGACUGAUCACGAGCCCCCAUCACCCAAUCAGGUUUCCAAAUGAUAGCUGAGAAGCAGUGGAAGGAAAAGGGAAGAAAGAUGAAGUGAGAAAAAGUUGGUCGCAGGAGCUCGAUUACGGUGUUAGGAGGAGGCAGACUCAGCAGUGAUUGAAAUAACUAAAAUGAGAAAAAGAAAAUUGUUGGUUUUAUUAGAGCGGGUUUCAAGGUCUGUCUGUUUGUGCACAGUCCAGAUCUCAGACAGCUCAGCUCAGGGUUUGUACUAUCAGGAGAACGGAAGAGCUGGCAAGCUGAGACACUACCAGUACUUUGUGGAAACCGACAUAUGAAUUUGUUCUACAAAUGUGCCAGGGACACACUGAUCCAACAGUUAGAUCACUUCCAGAAGACACGGAGUUAGAUCUCUGAGUUCACUUCCAAUUGCUGACUACUACUAUCCAAUAAAAGAAAAUUUCUGCAUAAAGUAAACAAGGAAAGGCAGAAGAGGAAUGGCCAGAAGGUGCCCUGCUGGUUCUAGGAGCAAGGAAACAAGUUGGAAAAGUUUUGGCAUUUCAUCAGCAACUUCCCAGGUUGACAGCAAGACCCUCAUGACCCAGCAGUGAGUCCCAGUUCCCACCUGGGUGCCUCUGGAGAGUGACAAAUCUCUUGGAUGUGCUCUGACAUCCCAGAAGCACAGGCCAGGAACAUCUGUCUGCUCCUUCCCUUCCUUCAGACUGUCCCGAGGAGGAGGGAGGCAAGCAAGUAAGGAUAUGAAAGGCAAAGGCUCAACUGGCCGUGUUACAUUAGCCAACUCAAAUAAUUCCCCUUGGCUGCGGAAACAGCCUUCCCAUCCAAAGCUUUUUUUUUUUUUCCCCUUUA